GACGAACGCUGGCGGCGUGCUUAACACAUUCAAGUCGAACGAGUGGCUAACGGGUGAGUAACACGUGUGUGUUCUGCCUUGCACUUCGGGAUAAGCUUGGGAAACUGGGUCUAAUACCGGAUAGUGCAAGAUGAGCUCGCGGCCUAUCAGCUUGGUGGUGGGGUAAUGGCUACCAAGGCGCGACGGGUAGCCGGCCUGAGAGGUUGGACGGCCACAUUGGGACUGAGAUACGGCCCAGACGCCUACGGGAGGCAGCAGGGGGGAAUAUUGCAGAAUGGGCGCAAGCCUGAUGCAGCCAUGCCGCGUGUAUGAAGAAGGCCUUCGGGUUGUAAAGUACUUUCAGCGGGGAGGCGUUACCCGCAGAAGAGGCACCGGGUAACUCCGUGCCAGCAGCCGCGGUAAUAC
rnacentral:rRNA from 1 species